rnacentral:rRNA from 1 species
ACCCAAUAGAUACCAGGUAGUCCUGGCCCUAAACGAUGAAUACUUGGUGUCUGAAGUUAUUAUUGCUCCGGGUGCCGUCGCUAAACGUUUUAAGUUAUUCCGCCUGGGGAGGUACGCACGCAAGUGUGAAACUCAAAGGAAUUGACGGGGACCCGGCACAAGCGGUGGAGCAUGUGGUUUAAAUUCGACGCAACGCGAAGAACCUUACCUGGACUAGAAUGUGAGGGAAUUUCGGGUAAUGCCGAAACGUCCGGGAAACCCGGACCCAAAACCAAAGGUAGCUGCAUGGCUGUCGUCAGCUCGUGUCGUGAGAUGUUGGGUUAAGUCCCGCAACGAGCGCAACCCUUAACUUCAGUUGCCAUCAUUCAGUUGGGAACGUCUGGAGUGACUGCCGUUGAU